rnacentral:sRNA from 2 species
UUUCACUGGCUGGCUGCCCAACCCAACAACAAACUUCUCUUCCCGGCCUUCUGCUUUCCAUCUAUCAGGUAGCGACGAUUAUUCUUUGCUUGCAGGACCACAUUCCUGAUACCUGGGUGUACCAUAUCAUGGGUAGUUAGUUAUUGUCAUUGCCAGUGUCAGGUACUUGGGCUAACUGUGGUUCGCACACUGGCUUAGAGAGAUUUCGGGCGAUCCAACGAUUCUGCUCCAGUUGCUAGUUGGAUUGUUGAUGGAAAUCCCUUGCGACAACGCAGUUUACUAAACACGGCGGCUAAAGACACAUCAAAAUCGGACAUGAUAGAAAAUAGUCAUAGAUGAUAUUGGAUUUCCCAAUUCAUGUUGGCAGCCUGUUCCGAGAAUCCAAUUUAAAUAGGCAAUCAUGCAUAACGCGCUUCACCACAAGUCGGCACUCGUAACUCAUUGAUUAAUCCCCUGUUCGCGGUGUUGCUUUUCUGUUGGAGACUUCUUCCCCACAGUGUUGCUGACCUUUCUUCGGUCUCACACUGUGUGCAAGGGAGGCAAUUUGGUCCGAAUAACAGUUGAGGAGCGCCGGUGAGGGAAGCACCAGCUUUUAUCGUUGCGGUAGAAUGUAGCAAUUGCUGGCAACGGAAUAACCAGAGGAUAGUCGUUCACUGUCCAGCUUUUGUCAAUGCGUCCAACGUGGACAGUCACGAGAAUGUUUUCAAGUCUGUUGAAUCCUCACUUCAAAUGGCACCUGUUCUUUCUAAUUUUUUAUUGAGCGAUAUAACAAACUUCAAUCGGUCUAAAUGCAUGGUUUCGUCUGAAGUGGACAGUGAUAUAAGAGCUCUUUGCGGCAGGUGAGCUUUAAAGCAGGUUAAACUCAAAUAUACCUCCAACAAAAGUACGAAACUCCUGCCAAUGGCCAUAGUCUUUGAAGAGAAGAUAUUCGAAGCCGUACAUGACAAUCUAUAUGUGGUCAUACUGAGGCAAGAUGACCCACUUGUAUCUCAUGCGCUUAGCGAUUCUAGGGCAGUAGAUGUCGACAAUUGAGUGU